CAGCGUGGCCGGUCUGUCCGAGCAUCAGCUGGCGAUGGGUGAUGGAGAAAAUCACUGCUAGAUAGCCCAUCCAGCCUGCGGUGAAGCUGUGCGCCCCCCCGUGGAGCCAUGAUCCAGUUCUAACUGUGGAAACUUCAAUCAGACGGAGCUGGUCACAGAUGGAGACAUAGACUUGUCUUCAAGUGUAAUGCCGAGCCAAACAACCAGUCCCGGACAUGCC